rnacentral:rRNA from 1 species
UACGUAGGGGGCAAGCGUUGUCCGGAAUUAUUGGGCGUAAAGAGCUCGUAGGCGGUUUGUCGCGUCUGCUGUGAAAACCUGAGGCUCAACCUCGGGCUUGCAGUGGGUACGGGCAGACUAGAGUGCGGUAGGGGUGACUGGAAUUCCUGGUGUAGCGGUGGAAUGCGCAGAUAUCAGGAGGAACACCGAUGGCGAAGGCAGGUCUCUG